GUGCCAGCCGCCGCGGUAAUACCGGCAGCUCAAGUGAUGGCCGAUCUUAUUGGGCCUAAAGCGUCCGUAGCUGGCCUCGCAAGUCCGUCGGGAAAUCCAUCAGCCCAACUGAUGGGCGUCCGGCGGAAACUACAAGGCUUGGGACCGGAAGGCUCGAGGGGUACGUCCGGGGUAGGAGUGAAAUCCCGUAAUCCUGGACGGACCGCCGAUGGCGAAAGCACGUCGCGAGAACGGAUCCGACAGUGAGGGACGAAAGCCAGGGUCUCGAACCGGAUUAGAAACCCUUGUAGUCC
rnacentral:rRNA from 1 species